rnacentral:tRNA from 1 species
CAGAAAUUAGUUUAUAGAAAAUUAUUCAUUUACAUUGAAUAGAUUUAUAGUGCAAUUCUUAAAUUUUUGA